rnacentral:tRNA from 1 species
GCAGGGGUAGUUUAACUAAAAUCUUAGCUUUGGGAGCUAAGGAUGGGAGUUUGAUUCUCUUCUCUGUG